rnacentral:lncRNA from 1 species
AGUUCACCUGGAUUAGACUCACAGCAGUGGGCUUUCUCACCAAGAAUGAUUUAUCCAGGACCUCAGUUGUCCAGCUUCUGCACUUGGAAGAGCAGCUGAGGAGGAAAAGUGGAAAGCAGGCUUUUCAAGAGCAAAUGAAGCUUCCAGUUGCCCUUCCAGCUACCUGGUGAGAAGACUCUUCCUCAUAGGAGGAGAAAGCUCAGAGAUAGGAAGAGAAGCCGAGUGUCUCUGAGAAUGCACAGCUCCUAGUACACGAUCCUUGGAUUUGUGCAGGCGUUGAUCUCACUGGCCUGGUAAUUGCAAAAGCUGAAGAAGGGGUGAAUUUAAAAAUGCCACCUCCAAAUGCCUUGGGACCGCUCCGUCUCUGAAGCUGUGGACAGCUCUGUGGAGUCUGUGCAGAAUGACAAGGAUGACAAAAAAAGAGAACCAAAAAUAUUUGAAGGCCUUCCUGAAAAUCCACGGGAAGGAAGGAUCCGAAAAUCCUGAGACUUCUGUUUCUCGAGUGACCUGCAACAAGGCCAAGGGCGACUGGCGUCCGCGCGCUCGAGGUCCUCUCAGCAGGAGUUCCCGGCCAGCUGGAGCUCAGCGACCACCACCUCGGGCCUGGGGAUUUCCCUCUCCGGCCUUGGGGGGGGGGGGGACUAAGCAGCUCCAGGUGCCAAGAGUUCCCUCUCCCGAAAUUCUCGCCCCAG